AUAUGAAUCACAUUGAGUUCUUGAUAAAAUACAGAUUCUGAUUUAAUGGGGCUGAGGUGGGGGAUGAGAUUCUGCAUUUCUAUUCAGCCCCCAGGUGAUGCCAAC
rnacentral:pre_miRNA from 1 species